ACUUGCAUAGCGUACAUAGCGGCGCGGGUUUGAAGCGGGUGCGUGCGCGGAGUGCGGGAGGGUGGACAGAGGUGGCGCGACGCCGACGUGGAGGCUUGUCUGACACGCGAGCCGCCACGAAAUCCCCCGAAGUGGAACUCCAGCCAGCGACGAAGCCCGAAUGUCGUCGAGUGAACGGAGUGGUGAAAUGAUAUUCACUUGCUCGCAAUGAUUCUAUCAGCUGUGCGAUCAAUUUUUACAGCCUAUCAAAUUUACUGUUUACGUUUUGUUAACUAAUAUAAAUAAUUUCCGUUUUCCUUCUACAUUUGCCUUCUAUAUUUUUAUCUCUCCGUGCAAAAUAAUAUGCAGGCUAAUUUCAAUCUAUAUUUAUUUAGCUUAGGAGAUUCGGGCGACCGCCCAGGACAUGGAUUAAAGGGCGCCGAAGUAUAACCGGCGGCGUUCCUGUUCAUUCAUUCAUUCAAAUCUUUAACAAGAGAAAAACCUCUACAAAAUGCACAAAUUUCCGCUGUUGAUUAUAAUUUAUCAGCAAUAAACUAAGGAGAACACUUAUGAUAGGAUGAGUAAUGCAAUGAGCUCAUCAUGAUCGUUAGAAGACGUUCGAUAAAUAAGUCAGACCGCAGAGGGUAGGAGACAUCAAAACAACUCCUUCCUUCGCGCGCCGAAUCGCGUACCUAAUUAAGUCAAUUUGCAAUACAUACAUGCAACGAAUAUAACGCGUUAAUCUUAACUAACAUUAUAAAUGGGAAGUUUUCGCAAAUAGAUGACAUAAAUGUGAUGGUAGCGCUAGUGUGCGAACCUCUUAAAAUAAGUAAAUAAAAGCGGACAUUUCAAGAGAAUAAGGAUACCUACGAUUUUAUGAAUAUAUGUAUGUACCUAUAUAGCGAGUACAUGUAUCUUGUGGCUCGCCUGCGACAUAGCCUAUGUCAGCUCUCUAACUGGGUAACUGACCUCAAUCCAAUGGUCCGUCCGUUCUGACGUAAAAAAGGACAAACAAUAAUUCAAUAUUAGUAUAUACUGAAGUGAACUUUGAUUGAGGCAUUAUGUAUAAUUAUUGAUAGUAAGUAUGAAACUUGUGCACUGCAGAAUUUUCAAAUCCUAAAUACCAUAUCUACAUACAUAUAAUUAAAAAAUGUACUGUUUACGCUAGACAUCUAGGUAAAUAUUCUAUUUUAAAAAAUGAUUAAUUAAUUUAUUUAAAAAAGUUUUUGUCACCACUGAGUACAUGCAGACUGUGUGCACAGAGCAUAUUGUUAUCAUGACCCAUUGAGUAUCAUAUCUAUUAUUUAUAUUUAAAAUUUAUUCAGAUCUAAUUUUAGGUGUUUCAUUUCUCACCUUCUAGAACAUGACAGUGACAACCCUAACCGCGCACGACCUGCGCACGUGAUAUUAAAGUUCACCAUCAGAUUGAGGAGGACACUUUCCAAUGUUGUUCUUUUUCCACCUGCCUGCGAAACCAAUCCACAUAGUGUUACAUUAUAUGUACAUACUAAAUAUUAUACGAGAACAAAUAAAAAGAAAACUUCUAAAAAUAUAUAAAUAAAUUCAACAAGUUACUCAAUUUCAUUGGAAACUCGUCCGUAUUACCGCGGCAAAAAAAUCCAUGCAGGAAAAUUUUACAUGCCAUCGAGUGUACAUAAUGACACAUAGUUUAUUAAAUUAUCGAUAAAUCUUAAUUGCCAUGUUUAGAAUUAUUUCGCCAUUAGUCA